rnacentral:lncRNA from 1 species
CAAAAUAUCUAAUUUAAAAUCAUUAGGAUCCUCACAAUCAUCACCUAAAUACCUCUCAACCUCAUUUUUUUUUUUACACCGCCUUCUUCCUCUAAAUGUUUUUUGAAUUGAGAAGCUAAGUCAUCCAACAUAUCAUCAUUUACCACCAUUAAAUCAACAUUAACAUUUUCAUUUAUACUAGUUCCAACACCAUGAACAACCUCAACAUUCUCAUCAACAUUCAUAUAAUGCUCAAACAACCUUAGCAAAGUAUCUUUAACCUUAAUUGUAAAAUUUUCAGCCUCUUCAACAUCAUACAAUCUUCCAAAAAAAAAUCUCACAUACUUCAAUUUGAAACGUGGAUCUAACACAAC